UUACCGAGUGCGGGCCCUCGUGGCCCAACCUCCCACCCUUGUCUCUAUACACCUGUUGCUUUGGCGGGCCCACCGGGGCCACCUGGUCGCCGGGGGACAUCUGUCCCCGGGCCCGCGCCCGCCGAAGCGCUCUGUGAACCCUGAUGAAGAUGGGCUGUCUGAGUACUAUGAAAAUUGUCAAAACUUUCAACAAUGGAUCUCUUGGUUCCGGCAUCGAUGAAGAACGCAGCGAAAUGCGAUAAGUAAUGUGAAUUGCAGAAUUCCGUGAAUCAUCGAAUCUUUGAACGCACAUUGCGCCCCCUGGCAUUCCGGGGGGCAUGCCUGUCCGAGCGUCAUUUCUGCCCUCAAGCACGGCUUGUGUGUUGGGUGCGGUCCCCCCGGGGACCUGCCCGAAAGGCAGCGGCGACGUCCGUCUGGUCCUCGAGCGUAUGGGGCUUUGUCACUCGCUCGGGAAGGACUGGCGGGGGUUGGUCACCACCAAAAUUUUACCACGGUUGACCUCGGAUCAGGUAGGAGUUACCCGCUGAACUUAAGCAUAUCAAUAAGCGGAGGAAAAGAAACCAACCGGGAUUGCCUCAGUAACGGCGAGUGAAGCGGCA
rnacentral:rRNA from 1 species